rnacentral:rRNA from 1 species
CCUACGGGAGGCAGCAGUAGGGAAUCUUCCACAAUGGACGAAAGUCUGAUGGAGCAACGCCGCGUGAGUGAAGAAGGGCUUCGGCUCGUAAAGCUCUGUUGGUAGUGAAGAAAGAUAGAGGUAGUAACUGGCCUUUAUUUGACGGUGCUUACUUAGAAAGUCACGGCUAACUACGUGCCAGCAGCCGCGGUAAUACGUAGGUGGCAAGCGUUGUCCGGAUUUAUUGGGCGAAAAGAGAGUGCAGGCGGUCCAAGAAGGCUGAUGUGAAAGCCUUCAGCUCAACCGGAGAAUGGCAUAAGAAACUGUUGAACUGGAGUGCAGGAGAGGGGAGUGGAACUACAUGUGUAGCGGUAGAAUGCGUAGAUAUAUGGAAGAACACCAGUGGCGAAGGCGGCUCUCUGGUCUGCAGCUGACGCUGAGGCUCGAAAGCAUGGGUAGCGAACAGGAUUAGAUACCCGUGUAGUC